GACGAACGCUGGCGGCGCGCCUAACACAUGCAAGUCGAACGGAGCUGAGAGAAGCUUGCUUUUCUUAGCUUAGUGGCGAACGGGUGAGUAACGCGUGAGUAACCUGCCCUGGAGUGGGGGACAACAGUUGGAAACGACUGCUAAUACCGCAUAAGCCCACGAUCCGGCAUCGGAUUGAGGGAAAAGGAUUUAUUCGCUUCAGGAUGGACUCGCGUCCAAUUAGCUAGUUGGUGAGGUAACGGCCCACCAAGGCGACGAUUGGUAGCCGGACUGAGAGGUUGAACGGCCACAUUGAGACUGAGACACGGCCCAGACUCCUACGGGAGGCAGCAGUGGGGGAUAUUGCACAAUGGGGGAAACCCUGAUGCAGCGACGCCGCGUGGAGGAAGAAGGUUUUCGGAUUGUAAACUCCUGUCGUUAGGGACGAUAAUGACGGUACCUAACAAGAAAGCACCGGCUAACUACGU
rnacentral:rRNA from 1 species